CAAAGAUUAAGCCAUGCAUGUCUAAGUAUAAGCAACUAUACGGUGAAACUGCGAAUGGCUCAUUAAAUCAGUUAUCGUUUAUUUGAUAGUACCUCACUACAUGGAUAACCGUGGUAAUUCUAGAGCUAAUACAUGCUAAAAGCCCCGACUCCGGAAGGGGUGUAUUUAUUAGAUAAAAAACCAAUGCCCUUCGGGGCUGCGUGGUGAAUCAUAAUAACUUCACGAAUCGCAUGGCCUUGCGCCGGCGAUGGUUCAUUCAAAUUUCUGCCCUAUCAACUUUCGAUGGUAGGAUAGUGGCCUACCAUGGUUUCAACGGGUAACGGGGAAUUAGGGUUCGACUCCGGAGAGGGAGCCUGAGAAACGGCUACCACAUCCAAGGAAGGCAGCAGGCGCGCAAAUUACCCAAUGCCGACACGGCGAGGUAGUGACAAUAAAUACUGAUCCAGGGCUCUUUCGGGUCUUGGAAUUGGAAUGAGUACAAUUUAAAUCCCUUAACGAGGAACAACUGGAGGGCA
rnacentral:rRNA from 1 species